rnacentral:rRNA from 1 species
CAGCCGCCGCGGUAAAACGAAGGGUGCAAGCGUUACUCGGAAUUACUGGGCGUAAAGCGUGCGUAGGUGGUUCGUUAAGUCUGAUGUGAAAGCCCUGGGCUCAACCUGGGAAUUGCAUUGGAUACUGGCGAGCUAGAGUGCGGUAGAGGGUAGUGGAAUUCCCGGUGUAGCAGUGAAAUGCGUAGAGAUCGGGAGGAACAUCUGUGGCGAAGGCGACUGCCUGGACCAGCACUGACACUGAGGCACGAAAGCGUGGGGAGCAAACAGGAUUAGAUACCCGGGUAGUCCCUGUCUCUUAUAC